ensembl:snRNA U6 U6 spliceosomal RNA
AUGCUCGCUUUGGCAGCUCACACACUAAAACUGGACCGCUACUGAGAAAAUUAGCAUGGCCCCUGAGCAAGGAUGAGAUGCAAGUUUGUGAAGUGGGCCAUAUUAAA